rnacentral:rRNA from 1 species
AAGGCUGACCUCAAAUCCGG